rnacentral:rRNA from 1 species
CAAUAGCGUAUAUUAAAGUCGUUGCGGUAAAAAAGCUCGUAGUUGGAUUUCUACCGAAGAUAGCCGGUCGGGUCUUCGACCUUGUAUCUGGUUUUGUCUUUGGUAUCCUCAUAGGGAACGUUUCUGCGCUUUAUUGCGUGGUGCGGUAUCUAUGACUUUUACUUUGAGGAAAUUAGAGUGUUCACGGCAGGCAAGCGCCUUGAAUAUAUUAGCAUGGAAUAAUAACAUAGGAUCUUCGUCCUAUUUUGUUGGUUUCUAGGGCUAAGAUAAUGAUUAAUAGGGAUAAUUGGGGGCAUCUGUAUCAACGCGUCAGAGGUGGAAUUCUUGGAUUGCGUUGCGACAAACUACUGCGAAAGCAUUUGCCAAGGAUGUUUUCAUUGA